rnacentral:lncRNA from 1 species
CCCAAGUGUCAAAAAGAAGUAUUUUCUUGAAUGCUGAGGAUAUUCUUGAUCACCGGGUCGAGUAAAUGUACAGGAGUGUAUCAAAAAGAGGAAUCAAGUGUAAAGAUCUAGAAAUACUGACAAAUUUUCCUUUUGGAACUUGCUAUCUACAAUAAAGAAUUCAGCUACUACUUUGGCAAUCAAGGGUAAUUGCAAGAAAGAUUUUCCUCAAGACAUAGAACCUUCAUCAUCCGGAACGCAUUCACAAAGUCAGAAGUGUGAAAAGCCCUUGGUAGUAUUAGAGCUGAGAAUGAAGCACAAUUGGAGAAACAGACGACUCGGCACAUAGAAUCUUUACACAAAACCCAAGCCCAGGCCCAAGCAUUCUGUUAGCACGGAAACCCUAAAGGCUGGUGAGCUUUUUGUUA